CAAAAUCAAUACACAACUUUCUUGCCAGUUUAUGCUGACUGAUGCCUGGAAGGGACCUCAUUCUGCCAGGGGAACACUGCAGUUUCCCACACGAUGUUAUUAGAUGCUCCCUCAGGCUGUUGCAGUUUUUAUGCCAGUUCUGGAUUUCUGAUUUAUGCAAGACCAUAACAGGGCUGGGAGGCCUGGGCUUAGCCAGUCUUCAGGAAAGACCAGAUAAUUUGUGAUUAUUUAGCAUUUAUGAACUUGUUUUUCUGUGGAAGCUGUUCAGGAGAUGGAUUACUCUAGACUGUGCAACUGAGCAUAGUUUGUGCUAAGGGGAAGAGGAUUUUAAAUCCUCAUAUCUCCAUUUCCAGUCACUGAGGCUGAUUGCAAAGCUGGAAGCUGUAAGGAAUGCCAUGGAAAAGAACAUGGAGUUCUACUGUAUUACCAGAAAGUUUCUGAAGGUAAAAAGUGAUAGGGGUUCACCUUCUCAGAAAACAAGAUUCUGAGAAGGUGACUGCUCCUUGGGAUAGAAUGGACUGAGUACUCAAUUUCUUUUGAUUCAAAACGUACAUAUUUUUUUAUAGGGAGAAUGGUAGGAAAAGCCUGUAAACUUGCUGCUAAGACUGGAUGGAGUGAGAGAAGCCAAUUGAUGGAAAAGAGCUAGAGAAAAUUAAAUAAAGAAAAUUAUGUUGGAUAUUUGGAGAACAAAGCUGCUUCCAAGGGACUACAAUGCUUUAAAAAUGGGGGGAAACAGCAACAACAAAACAAAAUGAAGGAGAAUCACCCACUUGUGCUUGUGUCCCUGCCUCCAACCUGGUGUUAAGAGUACUCACACCACUUCUGCAUAAACAGCUUAUGUAUUUCCACACUGCCUCCUAGAUUCCUCCUUUUCCUUCCUUCCCACUGGUGUCCACUUGCAGACUUUCCUUCUUGUUCAUCUCAGUCUCUCCUAGUUCACCCCAGCUCAUUUUUAUGGUUCCCAUCCAAUCUACUACUUGAAUCUUUUGACUCAAAUGUCAUUUUACUUGGGUCUCUGAAUACUUACAUACAGCUCUUAGCCAUAGCACUUGAGGUUCAGUUGUUGCCUUGCUUAUCUCCCUGCUCCCACUCUUGGACAGAUGCACAUGUAUAUGUGUCCUUAUCUCCCUAAGCCACCUUUCUGUAGAUAAUCCUUGCCUGCAGAUCCCUGGCCUUGCCAGAUCUUCUGCCAAGGCUCUUCGUCUAGCAGGGCUUUCAAAAUCCUGUUUGUGAGCUGUGCUUAACUAAGAUUCACCCACAAGGAGCUGAGAGAGGAGAAAUGCUGGUGUGUUUAUAGAACACCUGUGAUAUCCAGGCAAUGCCUACUUCUAGAUAAAAUACAGAAUAUGGAGUUUUCAAAGGUACUGAGUUCUCCAUAGUGAAGACUCACAAAUGGCUGUCCAAAAUAAAAAAUAAAGAGCAACAGCCACUUGGAAAAAGGUGUUUGUUGUGUGUAUGUACAUACUGCCCGUGCAGCACCUGUUGUGAGUUGUUCCUGCUAUGUACAGCACAUAAACAAAAGGCCCGGUACAGACACACGAGAUUUAGCAAAGCUUGAACUACAGCUUUUCACUCGUAGGCAGCAAGUCUGAGCAAGGAGAAAUCGCAGGCAGCACAGCGAUGUCAGGCAGCAUCUUCAGGAUCAUCGUCCCAGAUUCUGAGGAACAGUGAAGGGGUGUGAGUGAUGAGAGAGGCCAGCGGCCGGGCUUGUUGAAUAUUGCUGAAGCAGGGGAUGAGCUGACCCAGCAUGGAUGUCGAGGACAUUCCCAGGACACCACAUCCCCUCCAGGAAAGAAAAGCAGAUUUACAGCUCCUCUGGGAGACAGAGCAGCCCCGGAGUGCAGACUCUGGCCUCCUGCCAAAGUGAACCCAACGAGAUCAUGAGGGCUAUUCGGCUAAUUCGAGGAUCUAUUUCAGCUGCGCGCCUCAGUGCAGGCUCAAAGCACACUCUGAGAAAGUUUUGUUGAAGGACAGGUUUUAUUUGAACAAGGCAUUGUUUCGAGAACGCAACGCGCGGUAUUUGUGAGGGGAAGAUGGAGGCGGCGCAAGGCUCGCUGGGAGCUGUAGUCCUGCGGCGGGGGCGGGCAGCGGCCUGGCCCCGCGGGGAGGAGGUGUCCGGGACCCCAAAGAGGAGAAUUCCCUGCCUCCAUCAUUCCUGUGCAGCGCGCUGGGAACACCGAGGCUUGGGCUGUCCGGGGAAGAGGGAUGCCCGCGGCCUGCCCACGGUCUGCUCUGUGCGGAGCUUGCACUGCCCCGGUGUGGGUAACCUCAAAUUUACUCCCAUGUCUGCUGGUUCCGGGCUUCUCGCUGUACUUCUACAGGCAAACACAAAGGUGACAGCACCCUAAAGACACACACAGUCUGAUGGGAUGCAAUAUGCAUACUGUUCGUUGCUGUUGUUUGAAUCUACCCUCCUUUUCAUUAUUUCUCGUGGGAUAGAUGUUGGGGUGCCAGGUGUGUAUUUACCUGGCUCGGCCGCAUUGGCGCGGUGCUGAAAGGAAAACACGUCAGCCGAGGGCAGUAGAGACAAGGGGUGUUUCCAUGAGCUCCAGCACCCACGCGGUCAGUGCUUCUUGUAAAUCCCGAGUGACAUUCUUCUUUUUUGCCCCCUUGUUUUUUAGAAGUAAUUAUUACCAGGAAUUUUAGUAUUAGGAUCAUGGAAAUUUCCCCAUUAAUAUUACAGGACACUCUGAGGAAACAAAGGACAUCCACAGUAAGCAGGAGGAGGAGGCAUUUAGAGACAGCUCACAAGAAAGAGACAACAAUCCUUUAAGAUUAUUGUAUUGUAUAAAAAUCUUGCUCUAUUGCAAUGCAGAGAAUACAACUUCAGUGAAUGUCUGCACGUUCAAUGAAGCAAUAACUCGGCUGUCCUUUUUCUGACGUUAAUAAAUUAGCUUAACACCAACAUAAUUCUAUCCUGGGGUCUUUUUUGAGGAAUCCUCAAAAAACUCAAAUGGUGAAUGUUUAAUAAGGGGAACAUACUUCUUCAGCUCUAAACUAUAUAUAGAGACAUACAGAAAUACUAAACUGUUUGCUUAAUUUUAUUAAGGGAAACCCUGCUGCUUAACUAUUUGCUUGAUUUUAUUAAGGCAAACCCUGUUGCUUUCAAAUCUCCUGAAGUUAAUCCCUGGUGUUUACACUCAUUUUGCUGUUUACAUUGGCUUCAUGAACCUUCAGUGUAAACAGAGAAAAAGAAGUAAGGAUUCUUCCCAUGAAACAGCUCAAGAAAGAAAUUCUGACAUCACUUAAAUGAAGCAUGCUUCCUGUUUCAACAUAAUUAAAUUCUGACAUCUUAAAAAUAAAAACAAGGAGAAGAAAAAAACCACCCUAAUUUACUGUAAAGCUACUGAUGGUGAGAUUGUUACCUAUGAAGGACAUUCCUUCUGAUGUUCUUACUUGGGUGUCUGUUUCAAACAGAGAGGUUUGUGCCUGACAGUAUUGUCCAAAUGAUGGUGACCUUAGUGUCACAGGUGGCUUCUGCCAACCCUGUGAAGGUUUCUAGUAGUGCUCAGGAAAAAAAUCACAACAAAAGAAACCUGCUUCUGGUCUCCGCUUGUAGCCUUCAGCUCCUCUGUCUUCCCAUGCACUGGUUGGAGUGCAUGUAAUUUCGUUAUUUGGUGUGCUCUGGACUUCCCAGGAAAGAAUGGUUCAACUAAAGAACACACAGUGCAAUUUAUUUAUUUUGCCAUUUGCAAAUGCAAGUAAACAGAGGUAAUGCACCCUGGAAAGAGGAAGAAGGAAGGCUCCUCAUAUGGUGGGCUCGCCUGUGUUCUUUAGUUGUUUUGCUGGAGGCUGAAAAUUCAGCAAAACACAUGAUUAGCCCAUGUUUGAAAGUCCCUGUUCUGCUGGAAAUAAAGCACAAGCUGAAUUCCAUUCCUAUUCAGCAAAGAGCAUUAACACAUGGUGAAAUAUUAGUAGCUACUUGAGUGUGACAACACUGAAAGUGCCUGCUUUGUCACAUCCCAAGUCAAGAGGUGAACAUCAUCCCUGUUUAUGUACAUGGUUUCUCCAGGGACCCUCUUGGGCUCCAGAGGGCAGAAAACCAAACUUGAGGGUGAUGCCCCAACUCUAGGGGUGCCAGGACAUUAAUGGACAAGUUAAUGUCCUAAUUAAAUCAAUCACAAGUAGUUUACCCCUUCAACCAAGCUAUAUUUGGUAGAUACCAUACUAUGACGGGGGGAAAGGGGAAUUACAGUCAGUAUACAGCCAGUAGCCCAAGGCCAGGCUGAAACUUGUCAAAAACAGCAAACCCAAGGCUGGAGAAAAUGUGAAAAAUUUUAAUGAUGAUCUCCUUGACAGCCAACUAGGGAAAAAUAAAUAGAUGAGAUAUCUUGGAAUCAGCCAGCAAGACUAUAAUAAGUGUUAUGCUUAUUUUCCUUGCAUGUGUCAGUUAUGACUAAAGGAGGCUGGCAAACCAGAGGGCUUCAAGUCCCAGAGGAGCCCUCUGUUCUUGGGGUGCCCAGCAUCUGUGCUCAGUGGUCCUGGGGAGGGCUGUGGGUAUAGUCUUCAUCAAGCAUCAGACAAGGGUUGUUUUGGGAGUUCAUGACAAAGCCUGCAAAGCCAGGAGAGCUGGUGCUGGCUGAAAUCUUCUUGGUGGGCAGUGGGCACUGAGAUGAGUCUUGGGGUCUUCUCAGGUUGUGCAUAAUGUAAGAAGAGAGCUGAGAAAGGCUGAAUAAGCUAUCAAGUGAUCACUCUAACAGCCUAGAAGAUUGUUCUUGCCAGUACUGAUACUGCAAAGACAGGAUAUUGGGAUUAUAAAGAAGCUACUUGAAGCAGCUCAUUUUUAUCCAAUAUUAAUACAGUAUUUGGCAUCCAAAGUGUACUUUGCACUUAGAUUUCUGUGUAAACUAAAUCACAUUACAUUAAGCUGUUGUUUUUUAUAUUUCUACUUUAUUUAUUGAAGGCAAUUGUUUAUAUCAGACUACUCAUGCAAUGUCCAAACUUCUUUGGAUCAUGUAUACAAUGUAACAAUAGCCUUGGCUACUGAAAGUGGCAUAGAUUUAUAUUUCAUACAUAUCUGAGGAUACCAAGGACUAGAAAACAGUUUCUGAGGAAGUUUUAAAUAUCUUUUGAAAAAGAAACACAAGAAAACUGAUUUAUGCCUGUAGAGGAUCAUAUAGACAGAGCAUAAAAUGUUAAGAAAGGUAUGUUCUAUAUAUAGAACGUGAACUUAAAAAUUAAAACUGAAAGACAUUUUACUGAUUGAGUUCCAGAAAAACUAACAGACGUGAAAAGACAUGGUUAUUUAAAGGCUGAAAAAGGAACUCAAAUACUCUUAGAUUCUGACUAUGUUUCAGUGUAAACAAAUGCAGUCCUUACUCUACAGUAAUGUAACCUGUCAUUCCCAAUGCUAAACAGAGUCUGAGGAAAGGAAAACACUUCAUUUGAUUGUUUUAUGGCCAUCUCCCACACUUUAACGAUGUCUUGAAGUGAAAUCUAAGUGUGGGCAAGCUACGAAAGAAUAUAGAGACUCUUUCCAACUUAAGAGACACUAUGCAUUGUUAUAGUUUACUUCCAGGGAGGGACUGAAGCCCAUUCAUCUCCUCACAGACCAGUUGAGGGUACUGCACUCUCUACAUCACCCUGCUGGGGAUGCUGCCACUGACUGUGGGCACUGAGGCACUCCCACCAACUGGCCCCUUCUUAUGCAGGGAAACAAGGCCUGAUGGAUAACUACAGCUUUCUCCUCACUUUUCUGGGACUUCUUUGUGGCACUGUUUUUUUAACUCAUGCAGUAGUUAGUUUUCCUCAUUUCAGGAAAGCUCUGUGUACUCUUGGCAUGAAAAUGCCUUCACUCCAGCUUGGCAUUUCCUGGCCAUAGCUCGGGUGCCAGGUGUCAAUGGUGUUCUGCUCUGAGUUUAUGCAGGCAAUUUCAGGGUAAAGGCCCAGCACUAAAAUCAUUACCAAAUUACAUUUUAUUUGUUAAAUGUUUACUGCCAACAGCUUAUAGCUUUUCUGGAAACAGAUGAGUAUGUUUUCCACCCUAUUAUGAAAAUAAAUCUCCUCUCUUCCUCAGGAUGCAUUUUCUAUUUAAUCAAAAUUAAGUAUCUGAGAGACUUGCUGUGGUUAAAUCACUGCCUAUAUUUCCUUUAGUAGUUAUCUCAAAUGAGUUUGGGAAGAUAAUAAAACUUUCUGCAACACACUGAUUAGUCCUCUUAAUUAAUAGGGCUGAAUAGAGCCAAAAGUAUAAAAAGUAUUCCAGAAUAUUUACCAUGAGCCAGGCAUGGUUCUGUGUUGUUUCCAGUGUCAUUUAAGCAUGCUGUUAUAUUUCCAGGAUUUUGGAUUGGUUUUUUAAUGAUGUUACAGUACAGCAUUUUCCAAAUAGAUUAUUUUUGGUGCAAAUAAUUUGCAAAGGCAUCCUUGAUUCUUGUGAAGGCACAUGCACACAUUCUUCCUGAUAUUUGGCUUCUAUUGAAGAGCCAUGUAAGGGAAUGAACAGCACUUCAUAUUUUAACAACAGGGAAACACUCUUCUAGGAUGUGCCCUUUUCAUAUUUUCAGGUGCAAAGUGUGCCUCUGGUACUACUGAGAGCCUCUGGGCCUCUGGUACAUAAACCUCUUGAGAGGCCCAGCUGCAGAGAUUGCACAAAUAUGUUAAAGCAGCACUCUUUAGAUCCCACCACGCAGAACACUUCUUGUUUAAUGUUUCCAGCUGAGGGUGGAAAGAUAUUCUUCCAGCCUGGAAUGAUCUCUGGGGUAUUAGCUAAGCAUUGCCAGGUUUAUGGCCAAAUUGAAAUGUGGAAAUCAUGGAUUAAUGUCCCUUUUGUGCAACUUCUCAGCUAAUUACUUAAUUCUAAGCACAUCAGGGGUUUCUUUGACCACGUGUGUGUGUUUUCUUACACUUCAGCUAUGUGACUGUGCUUGUAAGAUUGAAAUUUUGUUUGAAACAGUUUGUUUUGUUAUGUGCUCAGGCUGUGGUUUGACAUGAUUAUUUAGAGUGUUUCAUACCCUAUCUAAUAGACACAAAUUGCAAGGUUCUGGGCAAACUCACUCUGCUGGUUCAUACUGGUUAAAAAAAUGUAUGUAGGAGGUAUGUCCUGUCCUUGUAGACUUACAGGGGCUGUUUGAAUUCUUAUUAUAUAAGCUAUAUGUAAUAUGUUACAUAAAGUAUUGUAACACUUUC